rnacentral:rRNA from 1 species
AACGCUAGCUACAGGCUUAACACAUGCAAGUCGAGGGGCAGCAUGAUUGAAGCUUGCUUCAAUUGAUGGCGACCGGCGCACGGGUGAAUAACACGUAUCCAACCUUCCGUACACUCAGGGAUAGCCUUUCGAAAGAAAGAUUAAUACCUGAUGGUAUCUUAAGCACACAUGUAAUUAAGAUUAAAGAUUUAUCGGUGUACGAUGGGGAUGCGUUCCAUUAGGUAGUAGGCGGGGUAACGGCCCACCUAGCCUACGAUGGAUAGGGGUUCUGAGAGGAAGGUCCCCCACAUUGGAACUGAGACACGGUCCAAACUCCUACGGGAGGCAGCAGUGAGGAAUAUUGGUCAAUGGGCGCGAGCCUGAACCAGCCAAGUAGCGUGAAGGAUGAAGGUCCUACGGAUUGUAAACUUCUUUUAUAAGGGAAUAAAGUCACCUACGUGUAGGUGUUUGUAUGUACCUUAUGAAUAAGCAUCGGCUAACUCCGUGCCAGCAGCCGCGGUAAUACGGAGGAUGCGAGCGUUAUCCGGAUUUAUUGGGUUUAAAGGGAGCGUAGACGGGUCGUUAAGUCAGCUGUGAAAGUUUGAGGCUCAACCUUAAAAUUGCAGUUGAUACUGGCGUCCUUGAGUACGGUUGAGGCAGGCGGAAUUCGUGGUGUAGCGGUGAAAUGCUUAGAUAUCACGAAGAACUCCGAUUG